GGGGGAAAGCGGGGGAUCUUCGGGACCUCGUGCUAUAGGAGGAGCCUGCGUCGGAUUAGCUAGUUGGUCGAGGUAAAGGCUCACCAAGGCGACGAUCCGUAGCUGGUCUGAGAGGAUGAUCAGCCCAGACUGGGACUGAGAACGGCCCAAGACUCCUACGGGAGGCAGCAGUGGGGAAUAUUGGACAAUGGGCGCAAGCCUGACUCCAGCAAUGCCGCGUGUGUGAAGAAGGCCUGCGGGUUGUAAAGCACUUUCAGUGGGGAAGAACAGAUUCCGGGUCAAUACCCCGGGGCCCUGACGUUACCCACAGAAGAAGCACCGGCUAACUCCGUG
rnacentral:rRNA from 1 species